CUUCUCUGGUAUUCCAUGAUGCCAUGAUUCAUUGUUAUAUGGUAUACAUAUUCGAAAUCAAAGGAAGAGCACACUGGCUUGAUCAGUGUCAUUAGCUGGGGAGUUGCAGAGAUCCCUCAAAUAAUCUCAAAUUAUAAGGAAAAGACCUCUGAAAGUCUCUCAAUGGCUUUUCUAUUGACAUGGGUUCUUGGAGAUUUCUUUAACCUUUUUGGUUGCUUGCUGGAGCCAGCUACUUUACCAACACAAUUUUAUACGGCUGUGUUGUAUGCUGUAACUACAUUGAUUCUUACAUUGCAAUCGAUUUACUAUUGUCACAUCUAUCCUCGAGUCAAAGCAAGCGGACCUUACCUUUCUCCAAACAAGAGUAAAAGAGAUGCCACUAGUGAGAAGAAAACAAAGAGAGAGUACAUUCAAACCUAUGACUCGAGACCUUCAAUGGAUGACCACUAUGUUUCGACCUCCCCCAUUCCUGUGGCAGAUACUGUACUUCCACGUUUCAGCUCCACUGGAAGAGACUUAUACUUCACGUCUGCAAGAUCUCUAGCCAGUAGCGCCACACCUACAGCUGGGUCUUAUUUAGCUCAUUCAAGGGCGAGUCCAAUUACCCUUCUUCAGCAACAUUCAGUUGAGGAGCCUUUGCUUGGAGCCUUCGUUUCAACCCAAUCUGCCCCACCAUUGAACACAAAAAAUAUGCUCUGCUCUUUCUCUGCAAUCAUUCUCUUUCUCGGAAGUUUCAAUCUCCACCGUUCAGCUAAUAGCCAGUAUAAUGAAGCGAUGCAUGAGACCUCUCAGGGAGUUGUCAUACAAUUGGGGAGAAAGCUUUUACAGAAUGUGGGGGAGUCGUCAUCAUUGGGAGAAGGGCACAGUAUGGUUGGGAAUUUCAUGGGUUGGGCCAUGACAGCUAUAUACAUGGGAGGGCGCCUUCCUCAGAUUUGCCUUAAUAUGAAAAGGGGAAGUGUCGAGGGAUUAAACCCUCUAAUGUUCAUCUUUGCUUUGAUUGGAAAUUCAACAUAUGUGGGCAGUAUCCUUGUGCGCAGCAUAGAGUGGAGUAAAAUACAUCCAAAUUUGCCAUGGCUAGUGGAUGCAGGAGCUUGUGUUCUCUUAGAUUCCUUUAUAUUACUUCAAUUCUGCUACUUCAGAAGUCGAAAAGAGGACAAGGAAGGUGAUAGCAAUGAAGAUUAUGUUGUAAAUUAAGGAUCUUUCUUCAAAAAUUUUAAGGGUGGAGGUUUCAAAAUGGUCCUUGAAACCGUAGAAUUAUUUGAAGAAGUUGCUGUUCAAUAACUGUUCCAGCUCAUUCAGCACAAACUCCGCUGUUAUUAGCUGGGGAGUUGCAGAGAUCCCUCAAAUAAUCUCAAAUUAUAAGGAAAAGACCUCUGAAAGUCUCUCAAUGGCUUUUCUAUUGACAUGGGUUCUUGGGUAAGUUCUACUUCCUCUCAUUCAACCAUUCAUAGUAUGCAUUAGUGUAAUUUCUCUGGUUUCGUCUUCUGUGUUUGUAUAAUUUGGUUUUCUUUGUCACCAUGUCUUUGCCUUUUUAUAUAAUUUUUUUCAUAUUUCUUCAUUGGCGUUAAAUUCUCUCUGCUGCAUAUGUACCUAUUCCCUGUCACCAUGUCUUUGCUUUUUUAUACCAUGUUUUUCAUAUUUCUUCAUUGGUGUUAGACUCUUUCUGCUGCAUAUGUACCUCUAAUUGCUAAUUGCUUUUUGAGUUUAUUGCUAGUUUUCUUUUUUUUCUUUGUAUUGGUAUUUUGUUUUCUCUGUACUGUCUGUGUUAUCCUGUGUUCCUGAUAGUAUUGCACUCUCAAACUACUAUCUCAUUUCUCAGAGUUCCCCUUGUAUUUGUUUAUACUCUUUAGGCAUAUAUCCAAAUAUGUUAUCUCCAUUUGUCAAUAACUGUAGCAUUAGAAGAGGACUUCAUUUGAACUCGAAUUGAAGUCUAAUUGGCUAUUUACUUUGCAUCGUUCAUUGUACUGAACUUGCUUCAUGGGUUACAGUUAUGCACCAUCUCAUUGCUUUGGUUUCUCUUUUGGAGAGAUUUCUUUAACCUUUUUGGUUGUUUGCUGGAGCCAGCUACUGUAAGUUUCUCUUGCUAUUAAUUAUGCUUUUCAUAGUGUUUGCCUCCCAAUUUUAUUUGAAGUGUAUAUUAUAAUGAGAGAGAUGUACAGUAUAAUACGAUAGACUAUAAAACGACCAUAGUCCAUCGGAUUAUUGAUGUCUGAGGAAAUGGACUGAGAGUGGAGUCUAUCCUAUGUUGGUGUCCUCACAUCUUCCUCAUUGCCAUCAAAUGUUUCAAUGGACAAUGGUGUUACAAUGGAGUAUGGACUUUUGUAGACCAUUGGAGUUAAUGUUUCUCCAAAAAAAAAGACUUUUGUUGACCAUUGGAUUGUAAUGUUAGUUUAACUGCUGAAUUUGUCCAUAAGAUGUAUUUAUGCUCUUCUUUUUAUCUAAAGUUUCUGCUAAAUUGCUUCUGGCAUGCUUAGUUCGGUCAAGGGUCUUCCACUUGUGCAGAAUCUCAUAAAGGAAGUGGUCGGAAUCCAAAUUCAUUCUGUAUUCCUUGUCAUUUUGUUUUAUGCACUGGAAAGAUUGGAGAUGUGAUAUAUUAAUCCAAAAGUUGUCCUAGAAUUUCUUUGUUUUCCCCAAAAUAAAAUUUAUGUUUUGCAAGUUUCUUUCCUGAUUUAAAUUAUUGGGUGUUGUAGAGUAACUUAUGUGCUUAUGUUCUACUUUUGCAGUUACCAGCACAAUUUUAUACGGCUGUGUUGUAUGCUGUAAUUACAUUGAUCCUUACAUUGC